UCCGCGUCCGUUUUACCCGCGCCUGCGUUCCGUUUUGCUAGCACUCGUGUGCCGUCUCGUUUUCCGUCCGUGUCGCGUCUCUUUCUAGUCCGUGUUUUCCGAGCGUUUCGCGAGCGUCUUGCGUACAGCGUGCGUUUCAGGCGCUCCGCCUUUCUUUUGCGAACGAUAUAUAUUUUAAGUGUGUUUUUUCUUUUCCUUAUUCUUUGCGCUUUCUCGUCUCUAGUGAUUAGUUCUCAAACGUUCCUCCGUGUCCGCGGUGCCCUUGCUGGCAUUGUACGUUACGUGAAAAUAACAUUGUCACGCGCUGUUCUCGUGUUCGCGGUGUCCCCCCCUGCUGGUAUUGUACGUCUUCGAUCUCUUUGUUCUGUGUUAUUAGUUUUUAAGCGUUGUAAAUAUCGCGUCUUUGUUCUGUUAAUCCUGCGACUUUGAUACGUUCUAGAUUUAACGAUUGUGGCUCAAGAAUAAACGUGACCGAGUCAGAACUUCGCGAGACGUUGCUGGCGACGGUCGGAUAACAAAAUCGUGGCAUGAACUUAGUUAUUCUGCCUACUCCUGCCUAUCAGACCUUUCAGAGACUCGAGCCUGCCUUCCUCGGCAGGGCAGUAUCAGCAAAGCCUUACUGGCAGAGCAAUAAUUCGCUACAUCCCCAUUUGCAAUAGUUUUCAAGUGUUCCCAUCCGUACGGACCAUUCUGCAGAAUCUCGCGCGUGGACCUCGUCAACUUCACGACAACGACGGCGCAAAGAGCGCACCGGUUCCAGUUGGCGUCCCAAAUUUAAGAAUGCGGAUGACAUUCCCAGGGAAGAAUGGAUGCGCAGUAUUGUAUGCAAAACGGAAAUCUCUUAAAGCACGUCCCAUUCGCGGUGAUCCUGAUCAAGAAACACGAUAAUCAUCGUUUUCAAGACUCGCUUUACAGGAUUUACUUGGGGGUGAUAUGGCGAACAUGGCUCACGAACGCAAUUGUCUGCUCUACGCCGUCAGUUUGUGUCAGAACGGCGUCCAAGCCAACGAGCUAGCAUCUGUAUAGAGCACGAACGGAGUUCGGAAAUCGGGGCAUGAUAACGUCGGAGCGGCAGCUAUUCGCUCGCUCUGUUCAAAAACGCGACUCUGCUCAUCGCCCCAUUCCCAACGCCUGUUUUUACGCAAAAGUCUCGUAAGCGGUUCGCUGAGGCAAAACGCGGAAUAAAGCGCCGAUACCAAGACGCCAUGCCUAAGAGGCGGCGUAACUGCUGGAUAUUGUGCGGCACUAAUCAAGGAUCGGUCGAGCCUUCUCGGAAUCGACCGUCACCCCCCCUUGCUCUCCACGAUAAAUCCCAAAUAUCGAACCUGCGAACGACCAAAUUCGCACUUCUCCGGAUUGAUCGUAAGGCACUGAAACCCUAUCUAACAUCCGUUUUAACCACUCUAAAUGCAUCUCAAAUGUGGAUGUGGCGACAAUAUUGUCGAGGUACGCAAAGGCAUACGAUUUCACUUCCGGUCCGAUAAUCCUGUCUAACAAAUGCUGAAAAGUCGCGGGUGUGCCUGUUAAUCCGUACGUAGAGAUUCUCCUUUGCCAAUGGUAUUUGAAAGUAUGCCUGGCUUAAAUCGAUUGUGGAAAUGUACCGCGCCACUCGUAAUUUGUCUAAGAUCCCAUUCAUAUUCGGCAGCGGGCAAGCAUCCUUUUUACGCUAAUAAACGUUAUUAAUUUUCCGAAAAUCGAGACAAAAGCGGUAUUUCCCGUUCAGCUUUUUCAUCAUAACGAUCGGAUUCGACCACUCGCUGAAUGACUGUUCGAUUAUGUUGGCAUCUAACAUUUUAUCGACCUUCUCGCGAAUAGCCUCCUGCACCUUCGGAGAGAUCAGAUAACAGCGCUGCCUUAUAGGCGGAUUCCGAUCCACGUCAAUUCUAUGCUCUGUAAGAGAGGUAACGUCCAGGCUCGCGACGUCUUUCGGUACGGUAUUCUCGAGAAAUUCUUGUAAUCGACGUUUCGACUAAUCUGACGUUAAUUCGGCUAACCCGCUUUUAUUAUCGACUGGUUCCUGCGUAUCAAAGCGGUAUCGGAUUCUCGAUUCAUUUGAAAAGCACCAAUCAGUUGCAAAAUCGAGAUUAACACCGAAAGUACACAGAAAGUCUGUAUUCACGAUACACAGUAUGGCCAGGCUCGGCAAUAAGCACGCGGAAAUCUCACACUUACGACUUCUCAAUAACAUCGGCACUUCAACUUCUUCCCUAAUUUCCGCGACCCCCGCUGUUUUAAUGCGGAAACCUCUAUCAUGUAUAUGUUAUGUCCAGGGGACUUCACGAAUUCUUCUCUUUCGGAAAAAAACAACGGCUGCUAAUCUGAAAACGAAGCGCUUCGAACGAUCUAAAAAAA